GACGAACGCUGGCGGCGUGCUUAACACAUGCAAGUCGAACGGAAAGGCCCUGCUUUUGUGGGGUGCUCGAGUGGCGAACGGGUGAGUAACACGUGAGUAACCUGCCCUUGACUUUGGGAUAACUUCAGGAAACUGGGGCUAAUACCGGAUAGGAGCUCCUGCUGCAGGGUGGGGGUUGGAAAGUUUUGGGGGUUGGGGAUGGACUCGCGGCUUAUAAGCUUGUUGGUGGGGGAGGGGCUUACCAAGGCUUUGCCGGGUAGCCGGCCUGGGGGGGUGACCGGCCCCAUUGGGACUGUGAUACGGCCCAGACUCCUACGGGAGGCAGCAGUGGGGAAUAUUGCACAAUGGGCGGAAGCCUGAUGCAGCAACGCCGCGUGCGGGAUGACGGCCUUCGGGUUGUAAACCGCUUUCGCCUGUGACGAAGCGUGAGUGACGGUAAUGGGUAAAGAAGCACCGGCUAACUACGUG
rnacentral:rRNA from 1 species